GCCACUAGGGAACGGGCUGCAUGGUGGCGUCCAUGUGACAGAAAACAUCAGAACAGACUGAAGGCUUCGGAGACAGGAGAGGGGCCUGGCCUCGAGCAGAGACUCUGGCAGCUAAGACCUCUGAAGCCCUCUCGUUUGGAUUUACAGAGGAAGAAACAGAGCCACGGUUCAAACCUUGACCCUUCAGCUCUAGGAUCCAUCCUUGAGUUGUGGUUGUCAAAGAAAGUGGUAUUUCCUGUGUGGAUACCUAGAAAUUAUAGUUAUAAACACCCCAGAGAAGACUGCAUGGGGCCAAUUUGCCUGCACAGAAUGGCUCUAGAUCUUCACCCCCUUUCCCAGGACUGGAUUCAUCUGAGGUCGUUACGGGGAUCACUUCACCACCACCUUGGAUGUUCUGUUCUGCUUCAUUUUUCCCUCCUGUAGAGAAACAUGGUUUGAUCCUCUAAGCUACAGAUCUGUUGUACUAACUAUUUCAAAAGUAUUUGCAUUUAAAAGGAGAGGGUAGUGCUUAAUAAAAUAAAGGUGUAUACAUAUAUGUAUAUUUGG
ensembl:lncRNA